AACGAACGCUGGCGGCAGGCCUAACACAUGCAAGUCGAACGAUAUAGUGGCAGACGGGUGAGUAACGCGUGGGAACGUACCUUUCGCUAAGGAAUAGCUCCGGGAAACUGGAGGUAAUACCUUAUACGCCCUCCGGGGGAAAGAUUUAUCGGCGAAAGAUCGGCCCGCGUUGGAUUAGCUAGUUGGUGAGGUAACGGCUCACAAAGGCGACGAUCCAUAGCUGGUCUGAGAGGAUGAUCAGCCACACUGGGACUGAGACACGGCCCAGACUCCUACGGGAGGCAGCAGUGGGGAAUCUUGCACAAUGGGCGAAAGCCUGAUGCAGCCAUGCCGCGUGAAUGAUGAAGGCCUUAGGGUUGUAAAAUUCUUUCGUCAGGGAUGAUAAUGACCGUACCUGAAGAAGAAGCCCCGGCUAACUUCGUGCCAGCCGCCGCCGUAACAC
rnacentral:rRNA from 1 species